rnacentral:rRNA from 1 species
CCUACGGGUGGCAGCAGUGGGGAAUAUUGGACAAUGGGCGAAAGCCUGAUCCAGCCAUGCCGCGUGUGUGAAGAAGGUCUUCGGGUUGUAAAGCACUUUCAGUGGGGAAGAAAGCCUUGGGGCUAAUACCCUCGAGGAAGGACAUCACCCACAGAAGAAGCACCGGCUAACUCCGUGCCAGCAGCCGCGGUAAUACGGAGGGUGCGAGCGUUAAUCGGAAUUACUGGGCGUAAAGCGCGCGUAGGCGGUCUGAUAAGCCGGUUGUGAAAGCCCCGGGCUCAACCUGGGAACGGCAUCCGGAACUGUCAGGCUAGAGUGCAGGAGAGGAAGGUAGAAUUCCCGGUGUAGCGGUGAAAUGCGUAGAGAUCGGGAGGAAUACCAGUGGCGAAGGCGGCCUUCUGGACUGACACUGACGCUGAGGUGCGAAAGCGUGGGUAGCAAACAGGAUUAGAUACCCCAGUAGUC